rnacentral:misc_RNA from 1 species
GAUCAAAAACAACAGAUGUCUCCUGCUCUAACAGCCCAACAAGGUCCGUUAAAACAUAAAAUUUACCAUUGUAUGGUAGGCCUAUGCAAUCCAUUUGGGGACUUGGCAGAGGUGGUAGGUCUUCCCACUUGUCUGUCAGUGGAUUAUAAACUUCAGCAAGAACAAGUCCUCCUCCCGAUGAUGUGUUGCGCCCUCCAGCUACAUAAACCUUACCAGAGACAACACUGCAGGCAAAGUUAGAACGUGCUGUUCUCAUACUUGCAACAUUUCUCCACUCUUUUCUGAAAGGAUCAAAUUGGA